rnacentral:rRNA from 1 species
AUUGAACGCUGGCGGCAGGCCUAACACAUGCAAGUCGAGCGGAUGAAGGGAGCUUGCUCCUGGAUUCAGCGGCGGACGGGUGAGUAAUGCCUAGGAAUCUGCCUGGUAGUGGGGGAUAACGUCCGGAAACGGGCGCUAAUACCGCAUACGUCCUGAGGGAGAAAGUGGGGAUCUUCGGACCUCACGCUAUCAGGUGAGCCUAGGUCGGAUUAGCUAGUUGGUGGGGUAAAGGCCUACCAAGGCGACGAUCCGUAACUGGUCUGAGAGGAUGAUCAGUCACACUGGAACUGAGACACGGUCCAGACUCCUACGGGAGGCAGCAGUGGGGAAUAUUGGACAAUGGGCGAAAGCCUGAUCCAGCCAUGCCGCGUGUGUGAAGAAGGUCUUCGGAUUGUAAAGCACUUUAAGUUGGGAGGAAGGGCAGUAAGUUAAUACCUUGCUGUUUUGACGUUACCAACAGAAUAAGCACCGGCUAACUUCGUG